CGCACCUUGCGCCCUUUGGUAUUCCGAAGGGCAUGCCUGUUUGAGUGUCAUUAAAUUCUCAACCUUGUGAGAUUUUUUUAUCUUGCGAGGCUUGGAUGUGAGGGUUUUUGCUGGCUUCCUUCAGUUGGAUGGUCUGCUCCCUUCAAAUUUAUUAGUGGGAUCCUUUGUGGAUGGUCACUUGGUGUGAUAAUUAUCUACGCCGCCUGACUCUGAAACAAGACUUGUGGGAACCUGCUUAUAACCGUCUUCUUUUGAAGACAAAUCUACCUUGACAAUUUGACCUCAAAUCAGGUAGGACUACCCGCUGAACUUAA
rnacentral:misc_RNA from 1 species